AUGUUUGCAAAGUGUGCAGCUGGCUGAAGAUGAUAAGAACAUGUUCUGUAAUAACAUGUAAACACUCUCCAGUUCAGUUCAGAAGAGACGCCUUAAGGUGUGUGUUCGACUGCGAGAGCUUCAGCGCUGGACUGAAUAUGGAUCCUCUUCUGCUCAGCGAAGAUAUGAUGCUAAAACAGAAUGAAGAGAAAUGCAUGUCAGAUGAGUUGAUGGUCUAAUUAAACAUCAAAAAUGACAAAGAAAGAGGACGAGAGACAAUCUGAUGAACCCGGAGAGAAACAGACACCGAGACGAGUCAGACACAACAGCAUUAACGGUGGAAAACCAAACUUUUACCAUGAUUCAGACAGACCACCAGAGACGCUCACAGAUGAGAAAGCUGAGCUUCCUUUCAUCUGAACCAGCAGAAAACUCUCCAUCAUGUCCAGCCACUAAAUUAAGUGCUGUAUACUCUUUAUUGUUUUUAUUGUAUUGCAUUAUUACAUAUAUAUCCAUAAUAAUAUUAUCAGUAUCAACAAUUGUCAAGUUCAUAGUUAAGUUCAAAAACACAAUGGUAGAAGAUUUCUUACGAAAAAUAUUUUAUUUAGAGGCCAAAAGGUUGUAAAGAACUGCAAAGUGCAAAGAAAAACAUGAUCACCAUCAGUGUCAUAACAGACAAUAUUACACCUGGCUGAUUCUAUAUAUAUAUAUAUAUAUAUAUAUAUAUAUAUAUAUAUAUAUAUAUAUAUAUAUAUAUAUAUAUAUAUAUAUAUAUGGAUAUAGAUAUAUAUAUAUAUGGAUAUAGAUAUACAGCGCCAUCUAAGUAAACUAAUAGUUGAUUUUAAUUCAUACAAUUGGUUUUUAUGCUAUCAAUGUAUAUUAACAUAUGUAUACAAAACUAUUAAAAAAGUGAAUUAUACAGAAAUAUAAAUCAAAAAUAGAAAAAAUAUAUAUAAAAAAAUAAAUAAUAGAAAGAAAAAUAGAAAAAACAUAAAACAUCUAUUAUAUAUAAAAUAAAAAUAUAUUAAAAAUAAAAUUAAAUGUUUUACAAUUACAUUAUACAAAAAUAGCCAAAAAUAUGUACAAAUAUAUAAAUUAUACAAAAAUAUUAUCAAAAAUAUUUUAAAAUGAAAUAUACUCAAAUAUAUAUUUUUUUACAUGCACAAAAGUAAACAAAAAAUUAUUGUACAAAAAAUAGCCAAAAUAUUACAUCAAAAUCAUUUCUGAAUAAUGAAUGAAGUAACAUGAAAAACGAGUGACAAAGUUACAAAGAUUGUAACACUGGGCUUUACAUACACAAGGUAAUAAACCAUCCAGACACAUCUGGGGAUACAAUCAAGAGAACCAAUGAAACAGAAGAACUACAAACUUUCACAGGAAACAGGAAACUCAACAGAAGUCUAAACAGACGGAUAACAAGUACCAUAACAGUAAUAUCAAACUAUGAGUGUUGAUUGAGUUCAUCACUAAAGCUUUGAUUGCAGCUGGUGCACAUUUGGGAGCUGUUUCAUGCAAAGUGUGUUUUUAGGCUUUAUGCAAAACAGGUGGGUUAUAUGCACAGCAAUGAGUAGUGAACACAUAUAUUCAAAUUUCUUUCAGGAAACAAUCUUUAAGAGAGAAUGUAAAAAGUAAUUUGUUAAGUUUAAUUAAUUAAAUUGUGCAAACUUCUUGUGUGUCAUUUAAAUCUCUGCUAAUGUAUUAAAAGUAUUCCUUACUUAUUUUGAGUUCAAUUUACUUAAGCCAUUUAUGUUAUCUUAAUUUAAUUUAAUCUGUGGUCUGUGGAAUAUACUGACUCCCAGAGUGCAUUGUGUCAUGAAUAAAUAAUGCAAUUGCUUUGUUUUA